CCGACGAUAGCUCAGUUGGUAGAGCGGGCGGCUGUAGUCACCGCCAGGUCCUGUGUUCAAUUCACAGUCGUCGGA
rnacentral:tRNA from 1 species